rnacentral:lncRNA from 1 species
CCCUAAAAUAUGCAUAAUAGUACAGUGAUAAUGGACGUCAUACUAAACUCCGAAUUAUACACAAGAAACUAAAAUUUAAAAUCAUACAAGACUAACAAAGGCCAGAGGCUCCUGACUUGGGACAGGCGCAAAAUUGCGGCGGGGUUAAACAUGUUUAUGAGAUCUCAACCCUCCCCCUAUACCUCUAGCCAAUGUAGAAAAGUAAAAGAAUAACAAUACGCACAUUAAAAUUCAGUUCAAGAGAAGUCCGAGUCCGAUGUCAAAAGAUGUAACAAAAGAAAAUAAAUAAAAUGACAAUAAUACAUAAAUAACAACAGACUACUAGCAGUUAACUGACAUGCCAGCUCCAGACCUCAAUUAAACUGACUGAAAGAUUAUGUCUUCAUCAUAUGAAUAUCAGGUACAAUCCCUCCCGUUAGGGGUUUAGUAUCAUACUAUCAUAAAAUAUAUGAGAAGAACAUAACCCGUGUCAUGCCAACAACUGUAUUUUUUAGAAAUAAAUGUGUUUAGUUCCGAUGCAAAGAC